rnacentral:rRNA from 1 species
AUACAUUGAUCAUCGACACUUCGAACGCAACAUUGCGGCCCAGGUAAUUGCCUGGGCCACGUCUGGCUGGAGGGUCGC